rnacentral:rRNA from 1 species
GACGAACGCUGGCGGCGUGCUUAACACAUGCAAGUCGAACGGAAAGGCCUGCUUUCCCUUGUGGAUUGCGGGUACUCGAGUGGCGAACGGGUGAGUAACACGUGAGUGAUCUGCCCCCAACUUGGGUAUAAGCCUGGGAAACUGGGUCUAAUUCCCGAUAGGACUGCAGGGUGGUGCCUGUGGUGGAAAACGAUUUUCUAGUGGUUGGGGGUGAGCUCGCGGCCUAUCAGCUUGUUGGUGGGGUAAUGGCCUACCAAGGCGGCGACGGGUAGCCGGCCUGGGAGGGUGGACGGCCACAUUGGGACUGAGAUACGGCCCAGACUCCUACGGGAGGCAGCAGUGGGGAAUAUUGCACAAUGGGCGGAAGCCUGAUGCAGCGACGCCGCGUGGGGGAUGACGGCCUUCGGGUUGUAAACUCCUUUCGACCGCGAGGAAGCCACCUGGUUGGAAGGGUGGUGACGGUAGUGGUAGAAGAAGCACCGGCUAACUACGUG